rnacentral:rRNA from 1 species
AUUGCCUCAGUAACGGCGAGUGAAGCGGCAACAGCUCAAAUUUGAAAUCUGGCUCCCCUUGGGGGUCCGAGUUGUAAUUUGGAGAGGAUGUUUCUGGCGCGGCGCCUACCGGAGUUCCUUGGAACAGGACGCCACAGAGGGUGAGAGCCCCGUACGGUUGGCCGCCUAGCCUGCACGAAACUCCUUCGACGAGUCGAGUAGUUUGGGAAUGCUGCUCAAAAUGGGAGGUAAAUUUCUUCUAAAGCUAAAUACCGGCCAGAGACCGAUAGCGCACAAGUAGAGUGAUCGAAAGAUGAAAAGCACCUUGAAAAGAGGGUUAAACAGUACGUGAAAUUGUUGAAAGGGAAGCGCCUGCGACCAGACUCGCGCCCCGCGGACCAGCCGGCGUUCUCGCCGGUGCACUCCGCGGGGUGCGGGCCAGCAUCGGUUCUCCCUGGGGGAGAAAGGCUGCGGGAAUGUAGCUCCUUCGGGAGUGUUAUAGCCCGUGGCGCCAUGCCCCAGGGGGGACCGAGGACCGCGCUUCGGCAAGGAUGCUGGCGUAAUGGUCGUCGGCGACCCGUCU